UCUCUCUCUCUCUCUCUCUCUCUCUCCGUACAAAGCGCCAACUGUGUCUUCCAACUCUGCCUCCAGUUUCAGAAAAUGCUUUGAACAUCACCAUCUCUUGUUAUUUGCUUCUAACCUGACAAGAGUUUUUAGGAUAAAUCUGCAAAAAGCAUGGCAUCAUCGGAGAAUUUGGCCAGUUUUGAACCAUUUCUCUUUAGACCCACCUUUACUGACUCAUGG
rnacentral:misc_RNA from 1 species